ensembl:lncRNA
GUUGAUUAAAUGACAGCAGUUGAUGGGAGCAAAGUUUAACCUAACCCUGAUUGUAAGCCUAAAACAGAUAUUUCCUGAAAAAUUAUAUCUCAAUUCUGAUUGGUUGAUUGGAAUGUUGUGUUAACAAAUUAGAGCAUUCUUACAGACAGAUGUUAUGAAAUAGCUUUCUGCAAUCCAGGAUUUCCUGUUUCCAAUAAUUCACAGUUUAAAGUUUCUUCAAAUAUUUUGAAGAAUGUUGCUGGAUAAAAUGUUCUUAACAAACGUUGUAACCUACUUUCCUUUUAAGGGGAUCUCAGACAUUCAAGAGGAGUUCUGCAGUGUUAUUUCAUCAAGGCAUAAUCCAAAACAUCUAGCAAAGCCUGCAGUGACUCCAACGCUGUCCUGAAGACAGACAAACAGAUUGCACUGAAAACUUUUGAAUGGUGACCGUCAGCAAACACAGCGGGAACGCAAGGGUAAGUCAGUAUAACAGCAUGUUUAUUGAAGGCAGGGGCAGGAGAAGACAAUACACUAGUGAGAUGGGAAGUAUCCAGGUAGCGUACUGGGUAGAGCAGCUUAGCUUGGUGGAGUCAUGUGUCCCUUCCUUUCUUCCAGGUGGGAUCACUGGAGCAGAGGAUUGUGGGAGCGCUGGAGAACAUGGAGUCAAUCACUGGAGAUCUGGCAGAUCUGCCAGCAGAUGGAAAGAGGAAGAGAGCACUUGCUUUGUUUUUUAUUUAUGUCACUCCAGCAGUAGCAGACCAACCGUCUCUCAGAGCAGCAGGUGCUUGUGGGUGAUAAGAACUACCUGUCAACUGGUUCACUCUCACCUGUCACACUCAGACUGCUGUUGA